CGCAUCUGUGCAUGCAGCAUAUCAAUAAGCGGAGGAAAAGAAACUAACAAGGAUUCCCCUAGUAACGGCGAGUGAAGCGGGAAGAGCUCAAAUUUGAAAUCUUAAAGGGUUUCCCUUUACGAAUUGUAGUUUAAAGAAGUGUUUUCUGUUGAGGUUUUGGUAAAAGUUCUUUGGAAUAGGACAUCACAGAGGGUGAGAAUCCCGUAUUUGACCUUUACUUUCAACUUUGUGAUACACUUUCAAAGAGUCGGAUUGCUUGGGAAUGCAGUCCAAAAUGGGUGGUAAAUUUCAUCUAAAGCUAAAUAUUGGCGAGAGACCGAUAGCGAACAAGUACCGUGAGGGAAAGAUGAAAAGAACUUUGAAAAGAGAGUUAAACAGUACGUGAAAUUGUCAAAAGGGAAGCGUUUGACACCAGUGUUGUUUUUCUGAAAAUCAAUUAAAGAACUGUUUAUGCUAAGUUGUUUAGACUUUAUCAGCUAACUGUUUAGUUUUGAGCUUUUCUUUAAUGCACUUUUCAGUUAACAAGUCAACAUCAAUUUCUUUUGCUGUAAAAAAGCUUGAGGAAGGUGGCUUGAGAUUCGUCUUAAGUGUUUAUAGCCUCUUGCCUAUGCAGUCGGAGAGAUUGAGGUCUGCAGCGUAGAUCCUUCGGGGCUAAAUGCAUUUGUGCUAAGUUAUAGCACUUUAUAGACAACUUGUUGACUAUGAUUUGUCUUGUAGCUUACUCGCUUAUGUUAUUUUACCUACGCUUAGGAUGUUGAGUCAUCACACAUCUCU
rnacentral:rRNA from 1 species